UAACGUCAGAAUAUAAUACGGUCUCAUAGUAACUGUAACGUAGCUCCAAAUGUAGAAGCGAGUUUUAACUUAAUAGUGUUUUUCGUUCCUGGUCUAGACGCUUUCUCGUUGUUUUGCAAGUUGUGAUAUUUGUAUAAUAGGUCAUAUUAGGAAAGGUUUACCCAAGCCUACUUAGUUUGACUUCUCGCUAUCCAUAAUCGAUAAAGCUUCCCACGCAAUAGUUCGAUAAGGGGGACUGCAAUGCUAUGGUUCUAUUUUGUCUAAACUGACUUUUGUAUGUUUGUCGUUGUGAUUUUGCAAAACUCAUUGGAAUUGAGUGCGAACCAAUUGUCUGGAGUAUUUCCAUGACCAGCUCACGAACUUUACCAACACCGCAACUUGCCAUUUAAUUCAACUACAACAGUUACUAUUUUAAUCAUAUUUUAUCUGGAACUUCCCGAUGGUUUAAAGAAGUAAAAUAUUUUGGUAGUUUCUCCUAAAA